UACGUAGGGUGCAAGCGUUGUCCGGAAUUAUUGGGCGUAAAGAGCUCGUAGGCGGUCUGUCGCGUCUGCUGUGAAAACUCAGGGCUUAACCCUGAGCUUGCAGUGGGUACGGGCAGACUAGAGUGCGGUAGGGGAGACUGGAAUUCCUGGUGUAGCGGUGAAAUGCGCAGAUAUCGGGAGGAACACCAGUGGCGCAGGCGGCGUCCUGGACCGGCACUGACGCUGAGGAGCGAAAGCGUGGGGAGCGAUCCGG
rnacentral:rRNA from 1 species